ensembl:snoRNA
AGUCGAUGAUUAAGUUAAAUUAAGAGUAGUGGACAGAAGAGAUUUCUGAAAACGGUAAAUAAUGAGGCU